UGCAAGUUGCGGCGUGCUAUACAUGCAAGUAGAACGCUGAAGAGAGGAGCUUGCUCUUCUUGGAUGAGUUGCGAACGGGUGAGUAACGCGUAGGUAACCUGCCUUGUAGCGGGGGAUAACUAUUGGAAACGAUAGCUAAUACCGCAUAACAAUGGAUGACACAUGUCAUUUAUUUGAAAGGGGCAAUUGCUCCACUACAAGAUGGACCUGCGUUGUAUUAGCUAGUAGGUGAGGUAAUGGCUCACCUAGGCGACGAUACAUAGCCGACCUGAGAGGGUGAUCGGCCACACUGGGACUGAGACACGGCCCAGACUCCUACGGGAGGCAGCAGUAGGGAAUCUUCGGCAAUGGGGGCAACCCUGACCGAGCAACGCCGCGUGAGUGAAGAAGGUUUUCGGAUCGUAAAGCUCUGUUGUAAGUCAAGAACGGGUGUGAGAGUGGAAAGUUCACACUGUGACGGUAGCUUACCAGAAAGGGACGGCUAACUACGUGCCAGCAGCCGCGGUAAUACGUAGGUCCCGAGCGUUGUCCGGAUUUAUUGGGCGUAAAGCGAGCGCAGGCGGUUUGAUAAGUCUGAAGUUAAAGGCUGUGGCUCAACCAUAGUUCGCUUUGGAAACUGUCAAACUUGAGUGCAGAAGGGGAGAGUGGAAUUCCAUGUGUAGCGGUGAAAUGCGUAGAUAUAUGGAGGAACACCGGUGGCGAAAGCGGCUCUCUGGUCUGUAACUGACGCUGAGGCUCGAAAGCGUGGGGAGCGAACAGGAUUAGAUACCCUGGUAGUCCACGCCGUAAACGAUGAGUGCUAGGUGUUGGAUCCUUUCCGGGAUUCAGUGCCGAAGCUAACGCAUUAAGCACUCCGCCUGGGGAGUACGACCGCAAGGUUGAAACUCAAAGGAAUUGACGGGGGCCCGCACAAGCGGUGGAGCAUGUGGUUUAAUUCGAAGCAACGCGAGAACCUUACCAGGUCUUGACAUCCCGAUGCUAUUUCUAGAGAUAGAAAGUUACUUCGGUACAUCGGUGACAGGGGUGCAUGGUUGUCGUCAGCUCGUGUCGUGAGAUGUUGGGUUAAGUCCCGCACGAGCGCACCCCUAUUGUUAAGUGCCAUCAU
rnacentral:rRNA from 1 species